ensembl:snoRNA
GGGGUGUGCUCAGAGCAGGCGGCCUGAAGAAUGGCUCCUCUGUUUACAACACACCCAACAGGAAGCUGGGGCCAUUGUGAUGAGGGGCACAAACUUGUGGCCUCCCUACAGACAAAUGCCCUACAUGU